rnacentral:rRNA from 1 species
AUUGAACGCUGGCGGCAUGCCUUACACAUGCAAGUCGAACGGCAGCACGGGUGCUUGCACCUGGUGGCGAGUGGCGAACGGAUGAGUAAUACAUCGGAACAUGUCCUGUAGUGGGGGAUAGCCCGGCGAAAGCCGGAUUAAUACCGCAUACGAUCUACGGAUGAAAGCGGGGGACCUUCGGGCCUCGCGCUAUAGGGUUGGCCGAUGGCUGAUUAGCUAGUUGGUGGGGUAAAGGCCUACCAAGGCGACGAUCAGUAGCUGGUCUGAGAGGACGACCAGCCACACUGGGACUGAGACACGGCCCAGACUCCUACGGGAGGCAGCAGUGGGGAAUUUUGGACAAAGGGCGAAAGCCUGAUCCAGCAAUGCCGCGUGUGUGAAGAAGGCCUUCGGGUUGUAAAGCACUUUUGUCCGGAAAGAAAUCCUUGGCCCUAAUACGGUCGGGGGAUGACGGUACCGGAAGAAUAAGCACCGGCUAACUACGUG